UAAGGGGGCACCUGAUCUGCCAUGCCGCGGUGGAGGUGAUGAAGGCCUUAGGGUCGUAAAGCUCUUUCGCCAGGGAUGAUAAUGACAGGUACCUGGUAAAGAAACCCCGGCUAACUCCGUGCCAGCAGCCGCGGUAAUACGAUACGA
rnacentral:rRNA from 1 species